GACGAACGCUGGCGGCGUGCCUAAUACAUGCAAGUUGAGCGCUGAAGGUUGGUACUUGUACCAACUGGAUGAGCAGCGAACGGGUGAGUAACGCGUGGGGAAUCUGCCUUUGAGCGGGGGACAACAUUUGGAAACGAAUGCUAAUACCGCAUAAAAACUUUAAACACAAGUUUUAAGUUUGAAAGAUGCAAUUACAUCACUCAAAGAUGAUCCCGCGUUGUAUUAGCUAGUUGGUGAGGUAAAGGCUCACCAAGGCGAUGAUACAUAGCCGACCUGAGAGGGUGAUCGGCCACAUUGGGACUGAGACACGGCCCAAACUCCUACGGGAGGCAGCAGUAGGGAAUCUUCGGCAAUGGACGAAAGUCUGACCGAGCAACGCCGCGUGAGUGAAGAAGGUUUUCGGAUCGUAAAACUCGGUUGGUAGAGAAGAACGUUGGUGAGAGUGGAAAGCUCAUCAAGUGACGGUAACUACCCAGAAAGGGACGGCUAACUACGUG
rnacentral:rRNA from 1 species